rnacentral:rRNA from 1 species
CUUGGUCAUUUAGAGGAAGUAAAAGUCGUAACAAGGUUUCCGUGGGAACAGUGGUCCUUCCGCUGGGACACUUCCUGAAGCCUCGUGUAGCCCUGCAAAUGGGAUGCUGCGCGACUGAAAAUAAAGCACUUAACUGCAAGUCACCCCCGGGUAGCAACAUGACCGAAUUGCGGGAAGCCCUAAAGCUCAGCAGUACCAACCCCGACUGGAGACAAUCGGGGGGCUUGUGGUAACUACACAAGGUAUGGUAAAAAUCUACUGAGAUGCACCAAUGGGUAAUCCGCAGCGAAGCCCCUGAGGCCCUCACCGGCUACGGGGAACGUUCACAGACUAGGUGGUUGUGGGCGGAGGUUAGCCUCCGCUUAAGAUAUAGUCGGGGCCCCGGGGAGACCCGGGGAUCAUGUCCCAGCACAUACAACCGUCCCGUUGGUGAACCAGCGGAAGGAUCAUUACAGAGAUCAUGCCCUUCGGGGUAGACCUCCCACCCUGUGUUAUUUACUCUUGUUGCUUUGGCAGGCCGCCUUCGGGCUCCCGGCUCCGGCUGGGGCGCGCCUGCCAGAGGACCCCAUAUUCUAAAUGUUUACAUGUCGUCUGAAGAAAUAUAUAAUAAGUUAAAACUUUCAACAACGGAUCUCUUGGUUCUGGCAUCGAUGAAGAACGCAGCGAAAUGCGAUAAGUAAUGUGAAUUGCAGAAUUCAGUGAAUCAUCGAAUCUUUGAACGCACAUUGCGCCCCUUGGUAUUCCGGGGGGCAUGCCUGUUCGAGCGUCAUUUCAACCCUCAAGCACAGCUUGGUCUUGGGCCCUGCCGGCAACGGCUGGCCUUAAAAACAGUGGCGGCGCCAUCGAGCUCUACGCGUAGUAAUUAUACCCUCGCGUGUGAGUCCCGGUGGAUGCUGGCCAGCAACCCCCAAUUUUCUAUGGUUGACCUCGAAUCAGGUAGGGAUACCCGCUGAACUUAAGCAUAUCAAUAAGCGGAGGAAAAGAAACCAACAGGGAUUACCUCAGUAACGGCGAGUGAAGCGGUAACAGCUCAAAUUUGAAAUCUGGCUCUUUCAGGGUCCGAGUUGUAAUUUGUAGAAGAUGCUUCGGGUGUGGCUCCGGUCUAAGUUCCUUGGAACAGGACGUCAUAGAGGGUGAGAAUCCCGUAUGUGACUGGCUGCCUCCGCCCAUGUGAAGCUCUUUCGACGAGUCGAGUUGUUUGGGAAUGCAGCUCAAAAUGGGUGGUAAAUUUCAUCUAAAGCUAAAUAUUGGCCAGAGACCGAUAGCGCACAAGUAGAGUGAUCGAAAGAUGUAAAGCACUUUGGAAAGAGAGUUAAACAGUACGUGAAAUUGUUGAAAGGGAAGCGCUUGCAAUCAGACUUGCACGCUGUUGAUCAUCGGAGGUUCUCCCCCGUGCACUCGGCAGCGUUCAGGCCAGCAUCGGUUUGGGUGGUUAGAUAAAGGCCUUGGGAAUGUAGCUUCUUUCGGGGAGUGUUAUAGCCCUUGGUGCAAUGUAGCCUACCUGGACCGAGGACCGCGCUUCGGCUAGGAUGCUGGCGUAAUGGUUGUAAGCGACC